rnacentral:rRNA from 1 species
AUUGAACGCUGGCGGCAUGCCUUACACAUGCAAGUCGAACGGUAACAGGUCUUCGGAUGCUGACGAGUGGCGAACGGGUGAGUAAUACAUCGGAACGUGCCCGAUCGUGGGGGAUAACGAGGCGAAAGCUUUGCUAAUACCGCAUACGAUCUACGGAUGAAAGCGGGGUAUCUUCGGACCUCGCGCGGACGGAGCGGCCGAUGGCAGAUUAGGCAGUUGGUGGGAUAAAAGCUUACCAAGCCGACGAUCUGUAGCUGGUCUGAGAGGAUGAUCAGCCACACUGGGACUGAGACACGGCCCAGACUCCUACGGGAGGCAGCAGUGGGGAAUUUUGGACAAUGGGCGAAAGCCUGAUCCAGCCAUGCCGCGUGCAGGAUGAAGGCCUUCGGGUUGUAAACUGCUUUUGUACGGAACGAAAAGCCUCUUUCUAAUAAAGAGGGGUCAUGACGGUACCGUAAGAAUAAGCACCGGCUAACUACGUG